CAUAGCGACUAUCGUGGCAUAUCAAUAAGCGGAGGAAAAGAAACUAACAAGGAUUCCCCUAGUAACGGCGAGUGAAGCGGGAAGAGCUCAAAUUUGAAAUCUUCAAGGUUUUCCCUUGACGAAUUGUAGUUUAAAGAAGUGUUUUCUGUUAGAGAGUUUGGUAAAAGUUCUUUGGAAUAGGACAUCAUAGAGGGUGAGAAUCCCGUAUUUGACCAUUAUUUUCAGCUGUGUGAUACACUUUCAAAGAGUCGGAUUGUUUGGGAAUGCAGUCCAAAAUGGGUGGUAAAUUUCAUCUAAAGCUAAAUAUUGGCGAGAGACCGAUAGCGAACAAGUACCGUGAGGGAAAGAUGAAAAGAACUUUGAAAAGAGAGUUAAACAGUACGUGAAAUUGUCAAAAGGGAAGCGUUUGACACCAGUGUUGUUUUCUCGAAAAUCAAUUAAAAAAGGCCGGAUUUUGUGUUGUAUUGACCUUAAAAGCUUUCUUCACUCUUUUCUUGUCUUUUUUAAUGCACUUUUCGUUUAACAAGUCAACAUCAGUUUCUUUUGUUGUAAAAGAGGUCAUUGGAAGGUGGCUUUCAUUUCGGAUGAAAGUGUUUAUAGCCUUUGAUCUUCUGCAAUCGGAGAGAUUGAGGUCUGCAGCGUAGAUCCUUCGGGGUUAGAUACAUUUGUGCUAAGUUAUAGUUUUUCAUAGACAACAUGUUGACUAUGAUUAAUCAUGUAGCUUACUCGCUUAUGCUAUUUUACCUACGCUUAGGAUGUUGACGAGACUGUCGAUCUC
rnacentral:rRNA from 1 species